GCGCAAAUUACCCAAUCCCGAUACGGGGAGGUAGUGACAAUAAAUACUGAUACGGGGCUCUUUUGGGUCUCGUAAUUGGAAUGAGAACAAUUUAAAUCCCUUAACGAGGAACAAUUGGAGGGCAAGUCUGGUGCCAGCAGCCGCGGUAAUUCCAGCUCCAAUAGCGUAUAUUAAAGUUGUUGCAGUUAAAAAGCUCGUAGUUGAACCUUGGGCCUGGCUGGCCGGUCCGCCUCACCGCGAGUACUGGUCCGGCUGGGCCUUUCCUUCUGGGGAACCUCAUGGCCUUCACUGGCUGUGGGGGGAACCAGGACUUUUACUGUGAAAAAAUUAGAGUGUUCAAAGCAGGCCUUUGCUCGAAUACAUUAGCAUGGAAUAAUAGAAUAGGACGUGUGGUUCUAUUUUGUUGGUUUCUAGGACCGCCGUAAUGAUUAAUAGGGAUAGUCGGGGGCGUCAGUAUUCAGCUGUCAGAGGUGAAAUUCUUGGAUUUGCUGAAGACUAACUACUGCGAAAGCAUUCGCCAAGGAUGUUUUCAUUAAUCAGGGAACGAAAGUUAGGGGAUCGAAGACGAUCAGAUACCGUCGUAGUCUUAACCAUAAACUAUGCCGACUAGGGAUCGGACGGGAUUCUAUAAUGACCCGUUCGGCACCUUACGAGAAAUCAAAGUUUUUGGGUUCUGGGGGGAGUAUGGUCGCAAGGCUGAAACUUAAAGAAAUUGACGGAAGGGCACCACAAGGCGUGGAGCCUGCGGCUUAAUUUGACUCAACACGGGGAAACUCACCAGGUCCAGACAAAAUAAGGAUUGACAGAUUGAGAGCUCUUUCUUGAUCUUUUGGAUGGUGGUGCAUGGCCGUUCUUAGUUGGUGGAGUGAUUUGUCUGCUUAAUUGCGAUAACGAACGAGACCUCGGCCCUUAAAUAGCCCGGUCCGCAUUUGCGGCCGCUGGCUUCUUAAGGGGACUAUCGGCUCAAGCCGAUGGAAGUGCGCGCAAUAACAGGUCUGUGAUGCCCUUAGAUGUUCUGGGCCGCACGCGCGCUACACUGACAGGGCCAGCGAGUACAUCACCUUAACCGAGAGGUUUGGGUAAUCUUGUUAACCCUGUCGGCUGGGAUAGAGCAUUGCAAUUAUUGCUCUUCAACGAGGAAUGCCAAGAGCCCGAGUCUCGGCUCGUGGCGGAUUACGUCCCUGCCCCUGCAUCCCCCCCA
rnacentral:rRNA from 1 species